GGGGUUUAGGAUUUAUGGUUUAGGGUUUAGGAUUUAGGGUUUAGGGUUUAGAGUUUAGGGUUUAGGGUUUAGAGUUUAGGGGUGGGGUUUAGGGUUUAGAGUUAAGGGGUGAGGUUUAAGAUUUAGGGUUUAGAGUUUAGGUUUUACGGUUUAGAGUUUAGGUUUUACGGUUUAAAGUUGGGGAGUGGGGUUUUGGGAUAAGAUUUCAAAUUUUAAAAAAUAAAAAAAAUUUAAAUUUUUUCAAAAGAUAAAAUGCUAUUUUGGUCAUUUUAGUUUUUGAAGCCUAUUUUUGUGACAUAAACUUAGAAAUAUGCUAUUUUGGAGAUUUGCCUAAGGUAAUAUAGGUUUCGUACUUUUCAAACAGUUAUUUAAGUUAGAAGAUAUAUUCUGCAUAUAUAUUACUAAAUAUAUCAGAUUUUUUGUUACAAAAUAUAUAUUGC
rnacentral:lncRNA from 1 species